rnacentral:rRNA from 1 species
AUACGUAGGGUGCAAGCGUUAAUCGGAAUUACUGGGCGUAAAGCGUGCGCAGGCGGUUUUGUAAGACAGAGGUGAAAUCCCCGGGCUCAACCUGGGAACUGCCUUUGUUACUGCAAGGCUAGAGUACGGCAGAGGGGGAUGGAAUUCCGCGUGUAGCAGUGAAAUGCGUAGAUAUGCGGAGGAACACCGAUGGCGAAGGCACUCCCCGGGGCAUGUACUGACGCUCAUGCACGAAAGCGGGGGGAGCAAACAGGAUUAGAUACCCUGGUAGUCCACGCCCUAAACGAUGUCAACUGGGUGUUGGGUCUUCAUUGACUCAGUAACGAAGCUAACGCGUGAAGUUGACCGCCUGGGGAGUACGGCCGCAAGGUUGAAACUCAAAUGAAUUGACGGGG